UUACAGUUACCACUGACACUAACUUAUUAUUUGCUACUUAUUAAUUAGUUAUAACGUCAUAACUUAGUUCAUAGUUUGAUUUAGUAUGAAUUAAUUAAUUUAUUACUUAGGGUAUCAGAACUUCAUUCAUACUACCUCCGCAACACACAUACACAUAAGUUAACGUAGACUUGCCACAACAUCGAAUGCAGAAAUUCAAAAACAGGCCUACUAUUCUGGCUCUUCUUCAAUUUAUUACCACCACAACUCAAACAAAACCAUAAAAAAAACCUUUCACCUUCAAUAGCAAACUGAAGCAAUUCUAAUUACUAACAGAUAGGCCAUACUAGGCUACACAGUCCCCGACUUCAUUGAAGAGCACACCUGAGACAUGAAUAGAAUAAUCGGCGUGAAACUUUAGGCCUACAAACCCAUUUUUACCCUGGUCCCAGGAAGAAAAUGGGACGAUUCCCUGAUCCCUGGAUUGUGGAGAAGACACCGGAUGGUAAACGUUGCUGAGAUUGGACCCCUUAAACUCUCUGGAGCGGAGCCCUUUCAACGGAUCUGAAGCAAACUUCACACAAACCAUCGUUGAAUAAUGUCUGAAAGUUCCUGUCGAGCGGUCUUGGAGUCCAUAGGGUAUAUGGUAUUGCUGGAGCUGCCGUCUUUUUACUGUCUUGUAAUGCGGAGCCGAUUCUAACAGUAGUAAAAUUGUUAAAACUUUGUAUUGUAUUUACUGAAAUAAAGACAGUGCUUCAUACAAA